AAAGCCUCGAGGAUAGAGGUGGCCCCGGACGGAUAGUAGAAAAGGGGGGGCCUGAAACGGUACUACUCUACGGACGGCAGCAGGCGCGUAAAUUACCCAAUCCUGACUCAGGGAGGUGGUGACAAGAUAUAAAACGAAUUACAUUGUGAUUGUAGUGAGGGUAUUCCUACUCGAACCACUAGUACGAUUAGAGGGCAAGUCUGGUGCCAGCAGCCGCGGUAAUUCCAGCUCUAAUAGCGUAUAUUAAGUUGCUGCAGUUAAAAGCUCGUAGUUGGAUUUUCAAGGAUUACUCUUCCUAUGGAAUGUGUACCCUACUAGUCAGCAUUGGCUCGCCACUGUGAGAAAAUUAGAGUGUUUAAAGCAGGCUCAUGCAAAAUACUUUAGCAUGGAAUACCAAUGAGCCAUGAAUCUUGGUUAAUCCUUGAACUCC
rnacentral:rRNA from 1 species